rnacentral:rRNA from 1 species
CGCUUACUUUCCCCUGUGUCUCUCUGAACUCAAGUCGCCUCCGCUUCUUCCCCAAAUCGCCGCUGCAGCUUACCGUCUCUGUUCCUCGAGGAGCUCGACCUAGCCCAAGCUCCCCACGCCAUCAACGGCUCCGGUGACCGCCGCCACGGCGACAAAGCCGUACAGUUGCGCGGCUGCCGCUUCCCGUUCCACUCUCCUCACACCGUCAACGGCCCCGGCUCCGGCGACCGACGCCACCACGGCGAUGCCGUAUGGUUCCGCGGCGUGCAGUGCAGACGUGGGGCGUCCCAUCUGUUCUUCGCGGUGGAGGCCUACCGGCGGGGAAGAAGGGCACACUGUCGCGGUGGACGACUCGCGACUGUGGUUGGUGGCGGAGGACAAAAUCCACCCCAUCUUCUAGACCCUUCACUACCGAGGCAUCCAGGGAGUCCAGAGCGUGCUCGACGCAGUCCGAACUACUUCCAGUGGAUGAGUAUGAGCUGCCCUCUUCGUGGCAUGCUGGAUCUGGGACUAUGGUGACAGACUCUUCAUUCAGAUAAUGUGAGGCUCAUGAAGGUUGAUUUCUUGCUGCAAACAAGUCGAGGAGGUAGCUCUUGUUGUCCCAGCAGGGUCAGCGGCGUCUGAUUGGAGAUCUCAGCCUAGCGUCGAUGGCCAGAAUAUCGAUGAUCACAGCCGUUAUCGGCGGCCAGCCAUGGAAGAAGCACGUACCCAGAUCCUGUUUGUUGAUGUUUGUUAUGCCGGCAUCCCUGUAUAUAUAUAGAAGCUUGGAAAAAAGGGCGCGUGCUAGUUGCGCGGGAAGGCACAGUUGGCGCCAACAAGUUUGUUGAGGAAGACGUGGAGGGGAAAAAGUCUGUUUUAUGUAAC